CUCUCCCUGGACAGGUUUAGACUCUUUGUCUCUUAUCGCUUUCUAAUCAUUUAUAUUUUCAUCACUGUCUCUUCCUCAGGGUUUCUUUGGCAGCAUUCUCUUAAGUUUAGUCUGUUUGCUAGACACAGAGUUAAUGUUAUUAUUCUAUACUGGCUUCCAGACACAUUGUCCAUCACUUAGCCAUGACGGGGAAGUGAGCCAAAAAUGAAUCAAGCUAUCACACCCCGAUGGAUCUCUUGGAAACACGAGCAGGAGAAGCCAGAGAGGAAAUUCUGUGGUACAUCUCAGCACAGGAGUGGGAUUCCAGAUGAAUUAGUGGUAGAGAGGGGCUGGAAGUUUGCAUAACAUCUAGUGGCCUCAUCUAGCAUCUGUCCCUAUCACUCUCUAGACUCCAGGUCCUCUUUCUAGCAGAGAGCGUGAUUCAAUCCUUACCCCAUGCCUUGGCCAGAUAAUGAUCUUUUUCACGCCCUUUAUUUUUUUAUUUUUAUUUUUAUUUUUUUAACAUAAGAUUAUUAUUAUUAUUUUUUAAUUAUUUGGUUUUCUCUAAUCUCUGCUAAUCUCAGCCUGUUGGACCUCUCCACGUAGCAGAUGGCGGGUUGAUUGCAGUGUGUAGCUCAUCCCUGGCUGUAGUGCAGGAGCCGCAUCUCCCGUGGAUGGAAAAUCUCCUGAGUUUACCUUUGCUAAGUGGUAAUUGCUAAUUUGUUGAGGGGAAGCCAGGGAAGUGGAGGAGGGCUCUUGAAGCAGACAAAAGGGGUGUGAUAAUCAGCUCCUUUGUGGCAGGAACCUGCAGGCUUUAGACUUGCAAAUUGUUUUACAGUAUGUUAGGAGGUGGGGCAUGGGUGCUGGAGAGUGCCAGCGUGUAGACUCCCCAGCACAAGUGAGAGGAAGAAAAGUUGCAGAAGAGAGAGAAAUUGUAAGCAAUUUGCUCGUCCUGCGGGUAUAACUUCUGAAAACAUCAACAAGAACCACAGGUAAUUUACGGAGAGGCCCAGGGAACUCUGCUGGGAGGAAGGAAGAGCCUGACACACUGGAGAGGAGAAAGAGGACCCCAGACUGGAGUCCUUAACUCAUCAUUCGUAAGGAGAAAUUUAGCUCAGGGCUUUGGGAUGGUUUGUACAUAAAUCCACUGGACCAGAAAACAGAGAGAUGGGAGCUGGUUGUGUUGGGCUGUCCCGAGGGAGAAUCCAAACUGCAGGGAUGCUGUCCUCAGAUUGGUGUAAAUCAGGAGCCAUUCAGCUGAAGCCCAAGGCGCUCAUCAACUAUUUGGCUCACCUAUGAGCCUGGCCACAGUGCCCUUGGAUGGAACAAUUUCCAUUUGAAGCCGUUCUCGUAGCUGUGCAGACAUUUCCCAUGAGCUGCUGGCACCUAAAGUGAGGCUGCAGCUCUGGGAUGCAAUGAACAAACCCCGCGCGGCUGCGGAGCAUCAAACUCUUGGCUCUGUUAGCUCAGCUCCUCAGUACUGACGUCAGACUUGGGAUGUCUACCCAACAGGCUGCCCAUUAGGCCAGGUAAAUUGUGGUACUAAACGACAAUAAGAUAUUCCCUCCUCCCCUCCUGGGUCUCCCAGUCCAUCUCACCUGGAGUUUCUGAGGUGUAGCUGAGGUGGAGCCGAGAGGUGAGCCGGGAAUGACAAAAUCACAGGGAAUUCCUCAUCUCUCUUGACUUCGAGGCUGGACCGUGGUCCUUUGAUGCUAACAUGAGCCUGUCCUCCAUUUAUCUAGACAUUGUGUCAGAACUUAAAUGAAUAUCGCAGAAGAUGCCAUGUAGGAGCAGGCUAGGAAAUCAGAAACACUGCUCUCAGUGAGCCUGGCUGAACCUAGAGCAAACCCAGCGCAAGAUCCAGGGCUGAGAUCCUCUCGUAGUUGCCACUGGAUCUUCAUCUUCAGCCGUGAGAACAUCUGGGAACAAUAUGGUACCAAUGGCACUCGCUACAGAGCUCGAUGUGUUGGAAAUCCUGCUUGGGAACCAAAAUCAAAUCUUCAUUCUGGGUACAUUUCCCAAAGACCAACAUUGUGAUAUCCCUGAAAGCACCAAACAGGGGCCCAUUAGAGUGCUUGUGUUUGAACAUUUGAAGCAAUUAUUCACGUUCACCCAGCUCCGAAGAGCUACCAAACGCCAUGUGUUUUUCCUCAGUGUUAAUAAAAACCUAAAUGAUUCUUCAUUAAGAAGCCCAUUAAGAUGACUGCGGUUUCCUCGAAGCUCAUUAGAGGAUAUUCUCCCCACUAAAUUAUCACACUGGAGUUUUGGAGAAAUCUGAGGAAAGAUGCCCUAUUGUGAUUAAUUCAUGAUAAAUUCUCGCUCCCUUGCUCGCAGUCUGCUCUCCGGGCUCCGCUUUGGGUUGCAGGGAGGAUGAAAGUGAUGCUUCGGCAUGGGAGCGAUGUCCCGGAGGUGUUCCUGCCGUCCGUCUGUGCAGGGCUUCUCCUCCUCUUCCACCAGGAGC